rnacentral:tRNA from 1 species
CAGUUCAUGGCCGACCAGGAGGCGGCGCAGGCCGGCCGCGGCCGCGAGGCCGGGCUGCAGGCCGCCCGCGACGCGUUCUACCGCGGCGACCUGG